CAGUAGCCGCGGUAAUGCGAAGGGGGCUAGCGUUGCUCGGAAUUACUGGGCGUAAAGGGAGCGUAGGCGGAUGAAUUAGUCAGGGGUGAAAUCCCGGGGCUCAACCUCGGAACUGCCUUUGAUACUGUUCAUCUUGAGUAUGGGAGAGGUGUGUGGAACUCCGAGUGUAGAGGUGAAAUUCGUAGAUAUUCGGAAGAACACCAGUGGCGAAGGCGACACACUGGCCCAUUACUGACGCUGAGGCUCGAAAGCGUGGGGAGCAAACAGGAUUAGAUACCCCAGUAGUCCCUGUCUCUUAUAC
rnacentral:rRNA from 1 species